UCCCUCUUAGCUCAGUGGUAGAGCGCGUCACUAGUAUGUGUCACAUCCAGUUGAGCAUGACGAGGUCAGUCGUUCAAGUCGGCUAGAGGGAA